GAACGCUGGCGGCAGGCCUAACACAUGCAAGUCGAGCGGAUGACGGGAGCUUGCUCCUUGAUUCAGCGGCGGACGGGUGAGUAAUGCCUAGGAAUCUGCCUGGUAGUGGGGGACAACGUUUCGAAAGGAACGCUAAUACCGCAUACGUCCUACGGGAGAAAGCAGGGGACCUUCGGGCCUUGCGCUAUCAGAUGAGCCUAGGUCGGAUUAGCUAGUUGGUGGGGUAAUGGCUCACCAAGGCGACGAUCCGUAACUGGUCUGAGAGGAUGAUCAGUCACACUGGAACUGAGACACGGUCCAGACUCCUACGGGAGGCAGCAGUGGGGAAUAUUGGACAAUGGGCGAAAGCCUGAUCCAGCCAUGCCGCGUGUGUGAAGAAGGUCUUCGGAUUGUAAAGCACUUUAAGUUGGGAGGAAGGGCA
rnacentral:rRNA from 1 species